rnacentral:rRNA from 1 species
AUUGAACGCUGGCGGCAUGCUUUACACAUGCAAGUCGAACGGUAACAGGCCGCAAGGUGCUGACGAGUGGCGAACGGGUGAGUAAUGCAUCGGAACGUGCCCAGUCGUGGGGGAUAACGCAGCGAAAGCUGUGCUAAUACCGCAUACGAUCUGUGGAUGAACGCGGGGGACCGAAAGGCCUCGCGCGAUUGGAGCGGCAGAUGUCAGAGUAGGUAGUUGGUGGGGUAAAGGCUCACCAAGCCAACGAUCUGUAGCUGGUCUGAGAGGACGACCAGCCACACUGGGACUGAGACACGGCCCAGACUCCUACGGGAGGCAGAAGUGGGGAAUUUUGGACAAUGGGCGCAAGCCUGAUCCAGCAAUGCCGCGUGCAGGAAGAAGGCCUUCGGGUUGUAAACUGCUUUUGUACGGAGCGAAAAGGCUCUCUCUAAUACAGGGGGCUCAUGACGGUACCAUAAGAAUAAGCACCGGCUAACUACGUGCCAGCAGCCGCGGUAACAC